UACGUAGGGGGCAAGCGUUGUCCGGAAUCAUUGGGCGUAAAGAGCGUGUAGGUGGCUCGGUAAGUCCGCUGUGAAAGUCCAGGGCUCAACCCUGGAAAGCCGGUGGAAACUGUCGAGCUCGAGUCCGGAAGAGGCGAGUGGAAUUCCUGGUGUAGCGGUGAAAUGCGCAGAUAUCAGGAGGAACACCAAUGGCGAAGGCAGCUCGCUGGGACGGUACUGACGCUGAGACGCGAAAGCGUGGGGAGCGAACAGG
rnacentral:rRNA from 1 species